rnacentral:rRNA from 1 species
UACGAGCCAUUAAGCGUUAUCCGGAAUUAUUGGGCGUAAAGCGUUUGUAUUCGGACGAGUGUGUUUAAUGUUAAAUCUUAAAGCUCAACUUUGAAAUUGCGUUAAAAACUGCUUGUCUUGAGUAUGGCAGGGGUAAAGGGAAUUCCCAGUGUAGCGGUGAAAUGCGUAGAUAUUGGGAAGAACACUAAACAGCGAAGGCACUUUACUAGGCUAAUACUGACGCUGAGAAACGAAAGGUAAGGUAGCGAAACGGAUUAGAUACCCGUGUAGUCUUACCCGUAAACUAUGGACACUAAACGGUAAAUUUUUAAUUUACUGUUAAAGCUAACGCGUUAAGUGUCCCGCCUGGGGAGUAUGCUUGCAAAAGUGAAACUCAAAGGAAUUGACGGGGGCCCGCACAAGCGGUGGAGCAUGUGGUUUAAUUCGACGGUACACGAAGAACCUUACCAGGAUUUGACAUGCUAGAUAGUUGCUUGAAAGAGUAACGUGCCGUAAGGAAUCUAGACACAGGUGGUGCAUGGCUGUCGUCAGUUCGUGUUGUGAAAUGUUGGGUUAAGUCCCGCAACGAACGCAACCCUUGUCUUUAGUUAUUUUCUAAAGAGACUGCCUGUAAUAAACAGGAGGAAGGUAAGGAUGAGGUCAAGUCAUCAUGCCCCUUAUGUCCUGGGCUACACACGUGCUACAAUGGGAAAGACAAUGAGCUGCAAAUCUGUAAAUUUAAGCAAAUCUCUUAAACUUUCUCGUAGUUCGGAUUGUGGGCUGCAACUCGCCCACAUGAAGUUGGAAUCGCUAGUAAUCGCCAGUCAGCUAUAUGGCGGUGAAUCCGUUCCCGGGCCU